AAAUAUCUACAACUAUAGUUGUUCUGUAUUUCCUUUGUUUGCUUUAGAUUAGGAUUACCAAAGGUGAGUCGGUCAUCUUGGAUGAGGUAAAUUGAUAUGGUAAUGUUUCUCAAGUUUCUGGGCAAGGCAAGUUAAUUAAAGCACCUUUAGUGCUUUGGUAACUGCCAGAUGAAGGGUGCCAGGUACUUGCAUCAAGUUGCCUUAGGUAUGAAGCUAUGUUCAGGCCUAGGCUUUUGUAAGUUGGCUAAGAAUGUUAUUUGACAUUCAACCUGUGUUAGAAGAUAGAGGUGAUAGUCUAAAGUCGUGAUCGCGAUAAUCUAUUCAAAGCUACAAACGUUUGUAUUGUAAGCUGCAGAUUACAUUAUGGACAUUGGAGCAUUGAGUGGAAAUUGUGUGCAUGACUUUUAAGAAUCUGCUAGGAUAUAGUAGAUGCCUUAUAUCUGAUGCAGUUGUACCAUGACAAGUUUCUAACUGCUAUGAAUCGACUUGAAAUAAAAGUUUAUAUCCUUUUAGAAUAAAAUACUAGAGAUAUUAGCAAUAAGGUAUAGAAAAAUUCUAUGAGAGCGACAAUGUACUCAAAAAACAUAAUUGUUUUUGUGUUGUUUAUCAUUAAAAAGAGGAAUUUUAUAAAUAUUAUGAUAUAAGAGAAAUGAAAAAAAGGAGAGGUAUGAGUAGGUGAAAUAGGCUAGAACAUGUUAGUGACCAAUCUUCUUGUUCACUUUUUACUGUGAUGAUUGUUUGAUGUCGAAACAUAGUCUUAACCUUCGAGAGAAAUAAAUUUGAAUUAUCAUAAUAACAGAUUCAAGAGUUUUAAAGAAAGUUUAAUUAUCUAAACAUUAUGUAAGAGGGGAUUGAAGAUACAAGGAAAAUACGCACAUAAAAUAGGUGAUAGUUAUGAGAUGGUAGGUGUGAUUAAGGGGUUAAUUGAUCUCAUUAAUAACAUAUUAGUUACUCUAGCUAGGAAAAAAAUACGGAAGAUUGUAGAGUCUAUCAAACUUUUAAGAACAUGACAUAAAUAGUGUAUGAAUUCCUAAUGUACUUUUUGAUAAAUAUUUCGAUUCAUCACUUGGAAGUGGAUAGAAUUGCCUUUAAGAUUAUAUUGAAGGUCUAUGUUGGAAAACCGAAUUAAUCACUGCAAUAGUUUAUUCUUUUUUCCUUUUCAGAAGUAAGAUUAUAUUUGAUAAGAUUAGAUAAAUUAUUUUGGCGGAAGUGAUAUUAUUUGAGAUAAUAUUGUUGUUUAUUGGAAGUUUAGUUUUUAUCUAUAUUGGUGAUAUAGUUAGAUUUUAAACACUUUAAUCGGUACAAGUAAUUAUUAUUGAUAGGUUAUAUUGAUAUCUGUUUAUAUAUAAAUAUGUGUAUAUAUAUAUAUAUAUGUUUUGAAUAUUUGUAUUUAGUUUCUUAAUUGGAUUGUGCAAAGUUAGCUAUGAAAAUAUAAUUAUUUAUGUUUCCUUAGUUAUUUCCUGGAUUCUAGAUAUAACCCUUAUUCCUCCAAUAGAUUAUUCAAUAAAUGAAUAAGAUUAUUUUUGUAUAGCAUAGUGUGAUAUUGUGGUUGAUUAUUAGCAAGAAUAAAUUAUGUUAGUAUAAACUUUAUGUUAUUAUCCAUUGUUAAGAGCUACGUGGACCUGAUCCUCUAUUGGAGGUACGUAGGCAGCCUUCGGGUGCGGUCGAAAUAUAAUAUAUGUUAAGACUUUAAUUAGCAAAUAGUAUCGAUGUAAAUUCAAGCCAUAUUAACAGAUUUUCAUGUUGAAUAAAUUACUUAUUGGAAAUUUAAUAAGUUUAAUAUGACUAAAAUAAUUAACAUACAAAUAAUUAUAUUUAUAAGAUUAUAGAAAAAAAAAGCCACAAAAGAAAUCACUGAAUUAGCUAAGAUAUAGGAGAACAAUUUUGAUAAAGAGACCAUGAGUGAAUUAGACCCUUAAUAUUGCCAAAACUUGACUAUAACUUAGGAUAGAAGCAUACAGAAGUACCUAAAAUGAAUAACUUGGAAAGCUUGUCAAAGGAACGAAAAUUGGCAUGCGAAUAGGUGCAAUUUGUGAUA